GUUGCACACAUCCACUCGAGGGAAGUGCCCAAACCAGCAGCAGUCUUCUACUGUUGGCUACUGAGCAGCUCCAUUAGAGCAGUGGGAGGCAUAGCACCUUGCUCAAAGGCUCCUCGAAAGUUGGAGCUAAGGAAAAGGGGAAUCGUUACUCAUUCAUGUCUACUGUGCCCACAUUUUCCCAACUGGUCUUGAAACUAAACUGGGAAACUCUCUGACUCAAGCCUCAUUCCCUCACUUUUAGGCUACUGCCGCCCCCUCGCUGUCUUUUCGGUGGCAGCGCUGGAGGGUGAGUUAAGCCACUUGAAACCCAAGGUCAGAGGACACCAGGAAGAGGCCUGUCAGUUAAGAGAAAAGGUCAGAGGUAUUGAGCGCCUUAAAGACCAGAAGGAGAAAGAACAACAGCAGCUACACGAUCAGCUCCGUAUUAGUCAGCAACAGGUCGAGACAUUUGAAGGGAAGCUAAAGGAGCAGGAGGUUGAGAUGGGACUUCUUCAUCAGCAGCUUAAAGGAGCCAAGGAGGAGCUGAAAGAUGCCCAGGGGCAGAAAGAAACUGCAGCCAUCUUUAAACAAAAGUACACAGCAGCAAUAGAGAAGGUGCAUAGGGUGCAAGAGCAUGUGGAACUUUUGGAUGAGGAGCUACAGUAUUCACAGCAACAGCUAAGAGAGUCCCAAUCAGCAACUCAGUCGGUGAAGGAAGAGCUAGCUGAGAUGGUGAAGCGGUACCAGGAAAAGGUUGGCCAAUGGGAGAAUGCACAGGAGGCUCUUGACCAGUUGACAGAUGAGCUCCAGGCCAAUCAGAAUCUGCUGAAGGAGAGUCAGCAAAAAGUGGACCUUCUCAAAGGUCUUAUAGGAUCACUGCAGGAACAGGUGGACACACUCAAACAGCAGAAACUGAUGUUGGAGUGUGACCUACAGCUGUAUCAGCAGAGUCAUUCUCAUUCUGACGAGGAGUAUCUCAGCCUGUUGAGACACAGACAGCAGCUGCAGAAGCGCUGUACCGAGCAGGUUGAGGGCCUUGCGGAGUGUGAAAAGGCUAUUCUUCAGAUGAAGUCAGAGCUGCAGAGACAAACCCAGGAAAAAGUGGGUCUGAAGCAAAGUCUUGUUGCGUCUCGCCGUACGCACAUCAGCAAUCGCAGCCAGCUGGAACAGGAAGUGCUAUGUUUGAAAAAGGAAGUUACACGUUUAGAGCUUGAGCUGUCAGACACCCAAAAGGUACAUGUGGCACUUCUGAGACAGUCAGAGGGGGAGCUGAAGGAGGCCAGACGAGAGGCGGCGAGAAGGAGCAACGAGGUGGGUGUGCAGAGAGGAGAGGUGCAAAGACUUCAGGAAGAGUUACAAAAGUGGGAGGAGGAGAUGAGGAGUGCCAUCAGAGAGAAACAGAGUCUCAGCAGUCACAUCAGGCGGUUGAACCAAGAGCUGGAGGAGCUACGCAGCAAGCACAAAGUGACAGUGGAGGAGUUGGCAGCCCGUGCAGAGGAGGCGAGGCGGAUGGAGGGGUGCCUGAAUGAGGGAAAGCUAGCAGAGGAGAAAAUAAGGUCAAUGGCUGUGAGGCUGGAGACGGAGGUGGCAGAGCUCAGGAGGAAUCUGCAGCAUGCUGUCGAUCACAAACUCAAGGCAGAGCGAGAGAAACAGGACGCACAGGACCAGGUGGAUACACUCCGGUCAGAGCUGGAGGGGACAUGGUCUGACAAUACAAACCUUCGCCAUGAGAGCCAGCUGGUCAUGACGAAUGUCAACAGUUGGAUUACUGAACAAAAGGCUUCCAAUGAGAGCAUCAUUGCCCAGAUGAAGGCCCAAAACAAGCUGCUGCUCAUCAUCACUGAAGAAAAAGAACAUCUUCAGGAGGCUAAUGACACAUUGAAGGCGGAGGUAAAGAGACUGAAAGAAGUGGCGGAUGAGAAGGAGAGAGACACGGAACGCUUCAAGGCCCAGAUUCGAGACCAGGGCACCCGGCAAGACGAGAGAACCAUGGAAACACAGGGUUGUGUGGCUCUAAACCUCAGCAAAAUCGAGGACAUGCAGACAAGACUGCGACACAACCUGGAGGCCAUCGGAAUGCUAAAUCAACAAUUAAACGCCCUCAGCAGGGAGAAUAAGCAGUUGCGUAGGCAGCUGGAGGAGGAGAGGUCCAUGCGACUGCUCCUUCCUCCUCCCACCUCCCAACAGCGCUCCUUCUCCCGCCCACCUCCUCCCUCCGCCUCCCUACCCUCAUCCCUCCGCCUCCCUCAUCCCCUGAACCUGGACACAGCAGCGGGAGACACUGACAGGACUGUAAACCAAACCAAGCUGAGCAGUACUAGGCUAGAGAGACCAGGUGAGUCCCAGGCUUUGGGUGAAGCGUUCUGGAUUAGGCCGCCUGGCUCUGCCUCCCUGGAAGAUGCUCUGUCUGGGAGGACAAGCAGGGAUCUGACCAAGUGAAGCCCCCUGAAGACUCUGACCUGUCAUGACUUUUUGACCUCCAGCUGCUCACCAGGGAGUGUACUCAGUAUGAGGUUAAUGUCCUGCAGGUCAAAGUCAAGUCCCUGAGUGCUUUUUGCCUGAGGGGGCCUCCAGAACCAGUGAAUGAUGGAAUUCCAUCAAAUCGAAAUCUCAAAAAUGUCUACUACAUCAUGAAGACAUUUACUCCAAGAUAUGAACAUAUUCACAUUUCUUACUUUUAAAAAAAUGAAUUGGUUGCAUCCUCAAAGUGUUGCAAUGCUCUGAGCAGUGUUGGUUUAUAACAUUUGCAAUUACUUCUUCUUUUGCAACAAAACUGUAGCACUAAGCACUAAAAUAUUGUUUGUGUCUGUACCUUUUUAAAAAUUCCAUCAGUUCUGAGAAACUAUAAUCAAUUUAAUUCCACUUAAAUGAACUAAACAGAACAAGUGACUAACUCCAAAUUCUUUAGUGUUGAUGAAUGUGUCUCACACUGGAGAUGGAAGCUGUGGAUAAAUGAGGGACGGCAGAUCAUCAGGAUCCACAGACAUACCUCAGAUGUUGAUGCGAAUGGCUAUAACACAGUCUCUGAUUAUGCUGCAGCUGUGCGCCAUGUGUCCUCCAUCUACUGCGGUGAAUGUGGCCGUGUGUCUUUAUGUGUGAGUACGUUAUGUGUCUGCGUGUUUAUGUCUCUCUGUGAGUGCUUGUGUGUGAUUGAAUGUUGAUUAUUGUAGAUGCUGUUUUAUAUUUUUGUUUUAUUCUUUAAAAACUAUUUAUUGAUCUUUUUUUCCCCUCUGUUGCUGUGUUUAAGCCCCGCGUGUCAUAAAGGUGGAAAAAUAAAAACAGAUACAUUUGUAAAUGGUUGUAAAUUUUCCCCAUUUUUAUUUUCGCUGUCAGUGUACCAACAAUAUCUUAUUUCUACCAGUUGGAUUUAUGUAACAACAGGCUAGAAAUGCUACCUGUUACCAUGGCAUAAUUAGGCAUUUGUACAGUUUUACAUGACUGCUGAGACACAAAGAUGGUGACAACAUUUCUAAGCAGCAACAUUUUUUUUUUUUACAAAAGAUCUAAAAUGCGGCUUCGAAGCAGGGACUAUGGCACACUCACACCAUAUUGACUUGCUA
rnacentral:lncRNA from 1 species